AUGAUGGCCUAUAGGACAGGACUGCUGCUGUUAACCGUCCUCUGGGCAGGUGUUGAUGGUCAGACUCUGACUGAAUCUGAACCUGCAGUAAAAAGACCUGGACAAUCCCACAGACUGACCUGUACAACAUCUGGGUUCACACUCAGCAGCUACUGGAUUCACUGGAUCAGACAGGCUCCUGGAAAAGGACUGGAGUGGAUCGCUGCUGAAACCACUGGCACUAACUACUAUUCCCAGUCAGUCCAGGGUCGCUUCACCACCUCCAGAGACAACAGCAGAAACCAGGUGUAUCUGCAGAUGAACAGUCUGAAAACAGAAGAUUCUGCUGUUUAUUAUUGUGCACGAGACCCACAGUGACUGGAUGACGGUGCUUUUGACUACUGGGGGAAAGGAACAACAGUGACUGUAACAUCAG